CACCCAUCAUCCAGUACUCACACACCCAUCAUCCAGCACUCACACACACACACCCAUCAUCCAGCACUCACACACACAUCAUUCAGCACUCACACACCCAUCAUCCAGCACUCACACACCCAUCAUCCAGCACACACACACAUCAUCCAGCACUCACACACCCAUCAUCCAUCACUCACUCAAACACACAUCAUCCAGCACUCACACAC